rnacentral:rRNA from 1 species
UGGGGAAUAUUGCGCAAUGGGCGAAAGCCUGACGCAGCGACGCCGCGUGAGGGAAGAAGGCCUUCGGGUCGUAAACCUCUGUCAGGAAGGAAGAACCGCGUGGGAUCGAAUAGGUCCUGCGUCUGACGGUACUUCCAGAGGAAGCACCGGCUAACUCCGUGCCAGCAGCCGCGGUAAUACGGAGGGUGCAAGCGUUAAUCGGAAUCACUGGGCGUAAAGCGCACGUAGGCGGCCUUGCAAGUCAGACGUGAAAGCCCACGGCUCAACCGUGGAAUUGCGUUUGAAACUGCUUGGCUCGAGUCCGAGAGAGGGUGGCGGAAUUCCGGGUGUAGGAGUGAAAUCCGUAGAUAUCCGGAGGAACACCAGUGGCGAAGGCGGCCACCUGGAUCGGUACUGACGCUGAGGUGCGAAAGCGUGGGGAGCAAACA